AAAAAAGCAAACCCUGAGUUUCUGUGCCAACAUUUGAUUGUUCGUCCUAUAUAAAUUUUUUUUUAUAAUUAGUAUUUUCAUUGUUGUUAGAUGAUAAAACAUGAUUAAUACUUUAUGCAUGACUUAUCUAUUUAAUUUUUUUCAUAAUUUUUUAAAGUAAGACGAACGGGCAAACGUUGGACACGGAAACCAGGGUUUGUCUUUUU
rfam:Oryza glaberrima chromosome 6 Oglab06_0228_12, whole genome shotgun sequence.